rnacentral:rRNA from 1 species
AUUGAACGCUGGCGGCAGGCUUAACACAUGCAAGUCGAGCGGGGGAAGGUAGCUUGCUACCGGACCUAGUGGCGGACGGGUGAGUAAUGCUUAGGAAUCUGCCUAUUAGUGGAGGACAACAUCUCGAAAGGGAUGCUAAUACCGCAUACGUCCUACGGGAGAAAGCAGGGGAUCUUCGGACCUUGCGCUAAUAGAUGAGCCUAAGUCGGAUUAGCUAGUUGGUGGGGUAAAGGCCUACCGAGGCGACGAUCUGUAGCGGAUCUGAGAGGAUGCUCCGCCACACUGGGACUGAGACACGGCCCAGACUCCUACGGGAGGCAGAAGUGGGGAAUAUUGGACAAUGGGGGGAACCCUGAUCCAGCCAUGCCGCGUGUGUGAAGAAGGCCUUAUGGUUGUAAAGCACUUUAAGCGAGGAGGAGGCUACUUUAGUUAAUACCUAGAGAUAGUGGACGUUACUCGCAGGAUAAGCACCGGCUAACUCUGUGCCAGCCGCCGCUGUAA